AGACCAUUGGCAGUAGGCCAGU
rnacentral:misc_RNA from 1 species